UUGUUCGGAAUUACUGGGCGUAAAGGGCUCGUAGGCGGCCAACUAAGUCGGAUGUGAAAUCCCCAAGCUUAACUUGGGAACUGCAUCCGAUACUGGAUGGCUUGAAUCCGGGAGAGGGAUGCAGAAUUCCAGGUGUAGCGGUGAAAUGCGUAGAUAUCUGGAGGAAUACCGGUGGCGAAGGCGAGUCCCUGGAAAACUCCUGACACUGAGGCACGAAAGCUAGGGGAGCAAACAGG
rnacentral:rRNA from 1 species